GGGGAUUUAGCUCAGCGGCAUAAGCGCCUGCCUUGCAAGCAGGCAGUUGUUAGUUCGAUCCCCG
rfam:Cavia porcellus supercont2_61 genomic scaffold, whole genome shotgun sequence.